rnacentral:rRNA from 1 species
GGACGAACGCGGGCGGCGUGCUUAACACAUGCAAGUCGAACGAGGUCCAUCCAGUGGCAACACUGGUGAAGACCUAGUGGCGAACGGGUGAGUAACACGUGAGGAACCUGCCCCGAAGACCGGGAUAACCCUCCGAAAGGAGAGCUAAUACCGGAUGCCCCCACCGGGCCGCAUGACCUGGUGAGGAAAUGGAUUCCGCUUCGGGAGGGCCUCGCGGCCUAUCAGCUUGUUGGUGGGGUAACGGCCCACCAAGGCUUCGACGGGUAGCUGGUCUGAGAGGACGAUCAGCCACACUGGGACUGAGACACGGCCCAGACUCCUACGGGAGGCAGCAGUGGGGAAUCUUGCGCAAUGGGCGAAAGCCUGACGCAGCAACGCCGCGUGGGGGACGAAGGCCUUCGGGUUGUAAACCCCUUUCAGCAGGGACGAAUCUGACGGUACCUGCAGAAGAAGCCCCGGCCAACUACGUGCCAGCAGCCGCGGUAACACGUAGGGGGCAAGCGUUGUCCGGAUUUAUUGGGCGUAAAGAGCUCGUAGGCGGUUCGAUAAGUCGGGUGUGAAACCUCCAGGCUCAACCUGGAGACGCCACCCGAUACUGUUGUGACUAGAGUCCGGUAGGGGAGCGUGGAAUUCCUGGUGUAGCGGUGAAAUGCGCAGAUAUCAGGAGGAACACCAGCGGCGAAGGCGGCGCUCUGGGCCGGUACUGACGCUGAGGAGCGAAAGCGUGGGUAGCAAACAGGAUUAGAUACCCUGGUAGUCCACGCCGUAAACGUUGGGCACUAGGUGUGGGUCUCAACCAACGGGAUCCGUGCCGCAGCUAACGCAUUAAGUGCCCCGCCUGGGGAGUACGGCCGCAAGGCUAAAACU